GUCUUCUUUACAUACAAAUAUUGUGUUUUCACACUAAUCUUUAUGGUGUAUUGCAGAUGAUUCAACAAUGGCUUGCUUGAUAUUGCACCUUCAGAUAUAUUGGUGAAUGAGACAAAUUAAUGCACUGUUUCUUGUGCCAUUCUGUUUUCAGUUGCUGAACCAUCUUAAUUUGUAACUUGUAAGUCUCUGAAAUGAACACUUGUGAAUCUUUAUGUAUGUAACCAUUUGAACAAGCUAUUGAGCGAAUACAAAUUAAAGGGUA